rnacentral:misc_RNA from 1 species
AACGCACGAGACCUGCGGACCUGCGGAAGGAUCAUUAACGAAUCGUAUCAAAGUCGGUCCCUCCUGUGCUGGUCAACAUUUUGUUGGCAAUGUGCACGCUGGGGCCGCAAACAUCCACACACCUUGUGAACCUUCAGACCGCUGUUGAGUUCGUCGGCCUUUGGUCGGCUUGAGCACUUCUCCGGUACUUUUUUACAAACGCUUGCAUGUGAUUGGGAAUGUUCGAGUGUGCUUCGGCAC